AACGAACGCUGGCGGCAGGCUUAACACAUGCAAGUCGAGCGCACCGCAAGGUGAGCGGCAGACGGGUGAGUAACGCGUGGGAAUCUACCGAGCCCUAAGGAAUAGCUCCGGGAAACUAGAAUUAAUACCUUAUACGCCCUUUGGGGGAAAGAUUUAUCGGGGUUUGAUGAGCCCGCGUUGGAUUAGCUAGUUGGUGGGGUAAAGGCCUACCAAGGCGACGAUCCAUAGCUGGUCUGAGAGGAUGAUCAGCCACAUUGGGACUGAGACACGGCCCAAACUCCUACGGGAGGCAGCAGUGGGGAAUAUUGGACAAUGGGCGCAAGCCUGAUCCAGCCAUGCCGCGUGAGUGAUGAAGGCCCUAGGGUUGUAAAGCUCUUUCACCGGUGAAGAUAAUGACGGUAACCGGAGAAGAAGCCCCGGCUAACUUCGUGCCAGCAGCCGCGGUAAGAC
rnacentral:rRNA from 1 species